ensembl:lncRNA
GGUGAAAAGGAAUGAAGAGGGGUGGAGGAGAAAUUAAGAGGGGUGAAGAGGGUUGAAGAAGGUUGAAGAGGGGUGAAGAGGGAUGAAGAGGGGUGAAGAGGGGUGGAGGGGAAUGAAGAAGGGUGAAGGGUGAAGAGGGAAUGAAGAGGGGUGAAGAUGAAUGAAGAGGGGUGGAGGGGAAUGAAGAGGGGUGAAGAGGAAUGAAGAGGGUGGAGGGGAAUGAAGAGGGGUGAAGAGGAAAGAAGAGGGGUGGAGGAAUGAAGAGGGGUGAAGAGGAAUGAAGAGGGGUGGAGGGGAAUGAAGAGGGGUGAAGAGGAAUGAAGAGGGGUGGAGGGGAAUGAAGAGGGGUGAAGUGGAAUGAAGAGGGGUGAAGAGCAAUGAAGAGGGGUGGAGGGGAACGAAGAUGAAUGAAGAGGGGUGAAGAGGAAUGAAGAAGGGGUGGAGGGAAUGAAGAGGGGUGAAUAGGAAAGAAGAAGAGGUGAAGAGGAAUGAAGAGGGGUGAAUAGGAAAGAAGAAGGGUAAGGGAAUGAAGAGGGGUGAAGUGGAAUGAAGAGGGGUGGAAGAGGAAUGAAGAGGGGUGAAGUGGAAUGAAGAGGGGUGAAGAGGAAUGAAGAGGGGUGGAGGGGAAUGAAGAAGGGUGAAGGGGAAUGAAGAGGGGUGAAAAGGAAUGAAGAGGGGUGGAGGGAAAUUAAGAGGGGUGAAGAGGGUUGAAGAAGGUUGAAGAGGGGUGAAGAGGGAUGAAGAGGGGUGAAGAGGGGUGGAGGGGAAUGAAGAAGGGUGAAGGGUGAAGGGGAAUGAAGAGGGGUGAAGAGGAAUGAAGAGGGGUGAAGAGGAAUGAAGAGGGGUGAAGAGGGUUGAAGAAGGUUGAAGAGGGGUGAAGAGGGAUGAAGAGGGGUGAAGAGGGAUGAAGAGGGGUGAAGAGGAAUGAAGAGGGGUGAAGAGGGGUGAGGAAGGCUGAAGAGGAAUGAAGAGGGGUGAAGAGGGGUGAGGAAGGCUGAAGAGGGGUGAAAAGGGGUGAGUGAGGAGAGCUGAAGAGGGCUGAAGAGGAGUGAAGAGGGGUGAGUGAGAAGGGCUGAAGAGGGGUGAGGGUUGAGUGAGGGGAGGGUGAGGUUGUCUGGUUGUCUGGGGGUCAGAGGGGUGAAGGGGGCAGAAGUGGCUAUGGCCAAGGGGAUGGGUGGUAGGGGGUGCAGGGGGUAAAUCAGUUUUCUAAAGUCUCACAGGAAGUCCUGUGGAACAGUGUCUGACAUCCCUUCCUGUUGCGACAGACACAGUUGAUUGGCAGUGCUGCGGUGAUCCCCUCUAAAACCUGUCCUGGAUCAGCCACCGCCGUCCAAAAUAACAAAAUAACUUUAUCGACAUCAGUUGGUUGGUGACAACAGUGCAGACAGAUAAACGGGGCUUCAUGGCAGUGUGAAUGUUGCUCUAGGCUUGGAGCUGAUAGGUGGACUGACGCCCUCAUUUGAGAACUCACAGGGAAUCAGGAAGGGAGAAGCAGAUGUGAUUGGUUUGUAUUGGGAGAGAGGCGGAGACUGGGGAGUGGACAGCACCAAAACAUGUCGGACAGUGAUAGCCGUUUGGGUGGGUAGGGAGUCAAACAGCUGUGUGUGUGUGUGUGUGCGUGCGACAUUGUGUGUAUUUACGACAAUAGUAGGCUGAGUAUAUCUCAAUAAUGAUAUAGGUUGAUCCCAUCGAUCUUGUACUGUGUUGGUCAGCCAUUUGUCACUCUAAGCAUUGUCAUUGUGUAUAUGGAUGUGUACUAUAGAAGUGAGAGUAUGUGUGUGUGUGUCAGUAAAUGUACAUGUGAGAGUAUGUCUAGGUGAGUGUGUGUGUAACCCUGUACAAUGUCUGUGCGAUGCAAGUCCCUGUGUGUAGAGUGGCGGUAGGGGGGUCAGGCUCAGACUGGGAUGAGACUCCGCCUGGGAGAUAGGGGUCAUCCUGGUUUGGGGGCCAGUAGUUGAAGUUGGGAGGUUAUAGCUGGGUUUAGUGGGCAGUAGUUGAAGUUGGGAGGUUACAGUGGGGAUUAGCGGGCAGUAGUUGGAGUUGGGAGGUUAUAGCUGGGUUUUGUGGGCAGUAGGUGAAGUUGGGAGGUUAUAGCUGGGUUUAGUGGGCAGUAGUUGAAGUUGGGAGGUUAAAGUGGGGAUUAGCGGGCAGUAGUUGGAGUUGGGAUGUUAUAGCUGGGUUUAGUGGGCAGUAGUUGAAGUUGGGAGGUUAUAGCUGGGUUUAGUGGGCAGUAGUUGAAGUUGGGAGGUUACAGCUGGGAUUAAUUUUCAGUAGUAGAAGUUGGGAGGUUAUAGCUGGGUUUAGUCGGCAGUAGUUGAAGUUGGGAGGUUACAGUGGGGUUUAGUGGGCAGUAGUUGAAGUUGGGAGGUUAUAGUGGGGAUUAGCGGGCAGUAGUUGGAGUUGGGAGGUUAUAGCUGGGUUUAGUGGGCAGUAGUUGAAGUUGGGAGGUUAUAGCUGGGUUUAGCGGGCAGCAGUUGAUGUUGGGAGGUUAUAGCUGGGUUUAGCGGGCAGUAGUUGAAGUUGGGAGAUUAUAGCUGGGUUUAGUGGGCAGUAGUUGAAGUUGGGAGGUUAUAGCUGGGUUUAGUGGGCAGUAAUUGAAGUUGGGAGGUUAUAGCUGGGCAGUAGUAGAAGUUGGGAGGUUACAGCUGGGUUUAGUGGGCAGUAGUUGAAGUUGGGAGGUUAUAGCUGGGUUUAGCGGGCAGUAGUUGAAGUUGGGAGGUUAUAGCUGGGUUUAGUGGGCAGUAGUUGAAGUUGGGAGGUUACAGCUGGGUUUAGUGGGCAGUAGUUGAAGUUGGGAGGUUAUAGCUGGGUUUAGUGGGCAGUAGUUGAAGUUGGGAGGUUACAGC